GUCCCUUCGGAGACAUCAGAUAAAACUAGAACAAUAUAAAGAAGAUUACCAUAACCCUUGCGUAAGGAUGACAUACAUGAAUUGAGAAGUUGUCCAAAUAAAA
rfam:Helianthus annuus linkage group 6, whole genome shotgun sequence.